UAUAUAUACCAAAAAGAUAAAAAACUAUCUAACUGUAUUACAUAUUUUUUUUAUUUAUUUAUUUAUUUCGCACAAUGGGCAGAUGUGAUAAGCGUACGAGAAUGUAAAUGUGAGAGAGAAAAGGUUAUAGGAAAAAAUAAAAAACAAACAAAAAGAAAAGAAAAAAAAGAGAAAAAAAUAAAAAUCACGCUAAAGUUUUAACCACGCGCGAUCCUUCGUCUAUCGUCACGCGCGCGUGAUCACGGUCAUGUGCGUACUGAAAAUUGUGGACGGUCGCGCUACCGCCACCCGUUCGUUCUCGUUUUUAACGUUCUAAAAACGUUGUCGUCAACUACGUUGUUGUCCUCGUCUACGUCGUCGUCGUCGUCGUCGUCGUCCCUGCCACCGCGCGGCUCAAGCGGAAAGUCGCUCGCUCGCAACCGCCCGCCGAAUCCGCGCGCGCGGAAUAAACCGUAUCACAUAGAAUGAUGAUAUUUGACAUAAGCUAUUGCAGCGAGUCCCUUACAAAAUUCUUCUGUAAUAACAACGCUUUCCAGCAACGUAUUUUCCUUUUCCCUGUAAUAUCGUCAAAAUAUUUUUUUCGCUACAUGUAAAUAAAAGCCAGAUUCGGUGGUCUUUGGUAUCUCGUUAAUUAACUGCUUGACUACUUUCUGGAGACAAGUAAAUAAACUUUUUGUGCCAGGCACUAAUGGUAAAAGAGGAUUUAAUAAGAAUUCAUGCAGGUAUGGAUGCGAACAACCAUGCAUCUUUCGUAACUAUUGAUAUCAGGAUCGGUUUGAAGAUAGCGUGGCACCAGAGAUAAGAAGCUAAAGCAAAAUAUCAUGUUCUAAUAAGGAUGUGAUGGCACUAUCUGCUGCUGUAUUAUCGUAAUACCCUCGACUUGUCAAAUACAUUAAUGCGAGACAAUGUAGGCACUGUUCACGUAGCUCAUAAGGGCUUCCAAUAGAAGGCACUUUGACUUCACUGGUAUUCGCGAAGGUAUCAAAAGACUUUGGCCGCAAUUGUUCUCAACUGGAUUAUUUGUCUUGUCACAUGUAUUGCAAUCUUCGGUUCAUAAUCGAGGACGAAUCACAGUAAACAUUUUGUGUUAGUGGGCUCGAAGAUUGGGAUAUAUUUUCCGUAUCCUUGGAAGAAGUAGAUGCAUUCGAGCGUGUGGAAGAGUUAAGUGAAUUCAAAAGAUUCGGAUUUACCAGAGCUAUUGCCUGAGUUUUUAAAGGUUCAAAAAGAGGAUUAGAAUUAUUCUUUUUUCUAUUAGGAA